CCUGCUUGAAUAUGCAAAGGAUUCCAGUGUUAUCUGGUAUAUCUGAUGCGGCAUUGACCUAUACUCUCAUAUCUUAUCUUCCUACUCAGUAUGCAACCAGAAAAUGCUGGUGCUGCUGUACUACUGAGGGCAGUGCCUCCCUCCAACAACUGCUCCGCAGUGUGAGAUGUGGCCACUCACACAGACUCCUAAUACAGCCCACCGCAUGUAGUCUGGCAAGGUUUUGUUAGCCUCUUCCCCACCAAGGAAACAAAGCUUUUGCCUUGUAAUCCUCUGGAACCCAAGGGAGAGCCAUCUGUCUGUCAGUACCAGAGAUAACUUCUCUUCUAGAGGAAUACAAAAUCUGAACCACAGCUGCAGCUGCAGCACUGCUAUCCAAGCUUUACGAGUGUUUUUAAGAGGCAAUUGAACAAUCAGUCCACAUGAUGCAAUAGAAGGAACACCAAGCUGAGAUAAAGGUGACAUGGGGAACUGUUGUAGGCAGCUUGAAGGUAUAACUAUAUGCGAAAGCCCCACUGGUUCUGGAGUUGGCCUAUGGAUUCGCAAUGAAUGGAGCAACCAGAAAGGAAUGCAGAUAUAACGGAGAGCCCUCCCUGCCAUCUGCACCCAUGAGCCCACUGCAUCAUAGGAUUUUUGCAGGCCCUGCCAUACAAAAAUAACCAAAACCAAGUGAAAAAGUGUUUAGUCUUACAAAUCUCAAAAUAAAAGGAACCUUGGAUAUGAGUGAUUCUUUCUCAUCUCUAAACAUAUAUGUACUUCCAUAAUGCUGAACUCAAUUCUUCUUUUCUUUAUCUUGCAUUUAAACAAUAGACCAGGUUUUAUGGUUCUAUGCGAAGAACUUGUUACACAAGCUCCAGUGACUCACAAUCUUGUUGAACACUGUAUUCCCAAGUACUAGCCUCUAACACCAGGAAUCCUGGUAAAUGGAAUUAAAUAUUUUGCAAGAAUAUCUUGCUACAGCAUUUAAUACAUCUCUUGCAUAACUGACUCUUUUGGUGGGAUCUUUACUUUGGAAAGUAAAACAGAUAUAUGCAUGUAUUCAGUUGAGAGGUUGUAACAUGUUGAUACUGAUUUACUUGAGAGUUUUGGCCAAAUUUGGUGUGCUUAUGUUGCUGGGAGUAAAAGGGAG
rnacentral:lncRNA from 1 species